rnacentral:rRNA from 1 species
AGAUACCCUGGUAGUCCACGCUGUAAACGAUGUCGAUUUGGAGGUUGUGCCCUUGAGGCGUGGCUUCCGGAGCUAACGCGUUAAAUCGACCGCCUGGGGAGUACGGCCGCAAGGUUAAAACUCAAAUGAAUUGACGGGGGCCCGCACAAGCGGUGGAGCAUGUGGUUUAAUUCGAUGCAACGCGAAGAACCUUACCUACUCUUGACAUCCAGAGAACUUAGCAGAGAUGCUUUGGUGCCUUCGGGAACUCUGAGACAGGUGCUGCAUGGCUGUCGUCAGCUCGUGUUGUGAAAUGUUGGGUUAAGUCCCGCAACGAGCGCAACCCUUAUCCUUUGUUGCCAGCGGUUCGGCCGGGAACUCAAAGGAGACUGCCAGUGAUAAACUGGAGGAAGGUGGGGAUGACGUCAAGUCAUCAUGGCCCUUACGAGUAGGGCUACACACGUGCUACAAUGGCAUAUACAAAGAGAAGCGACCUCGCGAGAGCAAGCGGACCUCAUAAAGUAUGUCGUAGUCCGGAUUGGAGUCUGCAACUCGACUCCAUGAAGUCGGAAUCGCUAGUAAUCGUAGAUCAGAAUGCUACGGUGAAUACGUUCCCGGGCCUUGUACACACCGCCCGUCACACCAUGGGAGUGGGUUGCAAAAGAAGUAGGUAGCUUAACCUUCGGGAGGGCGCUUACCACUUUGUGAUUCAUGACUGGGG